AGUGAACGCUGGCGGUAGACCUAACACAUGCAAGUCGAACGGCAGCACAGUAAGAGCUUGCCCUUACGGGUGGCGAGUGGCGGACGGGUGAGGAAUACAUCGGAAUCUACUUUUUCGUGGGGGAUAACGUAGGGAAACUUACGCUAAUACCGCAUACGACCUACGGGUGAAAGCAGGGGAUCUUCGGACCUUGCGCGAUUGAAUGAGCCGAUGUCGGAUUAGCUAGUUGGCGGGGUAAAGGCCCACCAAGGCGACGAUCCGUAGCUGGUCUGAGAGGAUGAUCAGCCACACUGGAACUGAGACACGGUCCAGACUCCUACGGGAGGCAGCAGUGGGGAAUAUUGGACAAUGGGCGCAAGCCUGAUCCAGCCAUACCGCGUGGGUGAAGAAGGCCUUCGGGUUGUAAAGCCCUUUUGUUGGGAAAGAAAAGCAGCAGGCUAAUACCCCGCUGUUCUGACGGUACCCAAAGAAUAAGCACCGGCUAACUUCGUG
rnacentral:rRNA from 1 species